rnacentral:lncRNA from 1 species
GCAACAUGGUUAUGGGUACUACAGUGGAUGUGAGUGUGUAGACCUUGUACAAUAGAGCUUAUAGGCUAAUGAGAAGACAGGAAGAAACAACAGGAACACAUAUAGCUGGAAUGCAGAUGGGAUCUGUGCUACUUACGCUAGCCAUGGGAUGAUUAGAACAAGAUAAGAGACAUGAGGAAGACUUCUUCAAGGAGGUGCUCAAGCCAUGUUUUGGAAAAGAGAACUCAAGGUCUGGCAGGGAGAAAGGAGCAAGGGCAAGUAGAGCUGCAGCUGUCUGGCGCCACUGUAAUGCUGUCUCCUCCUCUGAGUGAGUUCAUCCUGGAAACAUUUUCUCCCAUAAGACAUGCACAGGUCUUACGUUUACAUGUUUCACUGAAAGAAAUUUGAUUCCACUGCUGGGAUGACAAGGAAGACUGAAGAAACCUAAUCCUAGGUGCUGCCACUGGGACAAACAAGAAGCACCAGACACAGUGCUGUUUUAGGGUGGGGCAGAAUUAUGCUGAGGGAAAAGUUAUUAUCACUCUUUAAGGCCAAGGAAACCACAAUUUUUAAAGAAGCUUCUAGAAAUUCUACCCAGUAGAAAAUAAAGAUAAACUUCUGUAAGGAA